rnacentral:rRNA from 1 species
CAGGCUCGGACGAUAUUUAAGGGGCAGGGGAGGGCAGAGGAGAGGUGUGUAGGCUAGGUUAGGUUAGGUCAGGGGGAGGCUAGAGUGGCUCUUUAGCUGCGCUUCCGAGAGACGGGCAGGAGUUCUACGUCUAGAAACACUUCUGGGAGUGGCCGUUCUGGUAGUGGGAGCUCCAGCUCAGCAGCCUGUGGUAGCUGUUACAGUUCCGGUUUUAGGUCCUGUUCCUCCCGUAGGGAGGCCUGGUCGUCGCAGAGUAGAAGCGACCGUUCGUCGAACUCCUACCGGCGUGGGAACGACUGAUGUUGUAGGUCUUCCUCAGGUGGGAGGUGGACCACGAGUCCGAGGCACCACCGUACGUCUAAAAACACUUCUGGGAGUGGCCGUUCUGGUAGUGGGAACUCCAGCUCAGGAGCCUGUGAUAGCUGUUGCAGUUCCGAUUCUAGGUCCUGUUCCUCCCGUAGGGAGGCCUGGUCGUCGCAGAGUAGAAGCGACCAUUCGUCGAACUCCUACCGGCGUGGGACCGCCUGAUAUUGUAGGUCUUCCUCAGGUGGGAAGUGGACCACGAGUCCGAGUCCCCACCCUACGUCUAAAAACACUUCUGGGAGUGGCCGUUCUGGUAGUGGGAACUCCAACUCAGGAGCCUGUGGUAACUGUUGCACUUCCGCUUCUAGGUCCUGUUCCUCCCGUAGGGGGGCCUGGUCGUCGCAGAGUAGAAGCGACCAUUCGUCGAACUCCUACCGGCGUGGGACCGCCUGAUAUUGUAGGUCUUCCUCAGGUGGGAAGUGNNNNNNNNNNUUCCGAUUCUAGGUCCUGUUCCUUCCGUAGGGAGGCCUGGUCGUUGCAGAGUAGAAACGACCGUUCGUCGACCUCCUACCGGCGUGGGACCGACUGAUGUUGUAGGUCUUCCUCAGGUGGGAGGUGGACCACGAGGCGGAAGCACCCCCGUACGUUUAGAAACAGUUCUGGGAGUGGCCGUUCUGGUAGUGGGACCUCCAACUCAGGAGACUGUGGUAGCUGUUACACUUCCGCUUUUAGGUCCUGUUCCUCCCGUAAGGGGGCCUGGUCGUCGCGGACUAGAAGCGACCAUUCGUCGAACUCCUACCGGCGUGGGACCGCCUGAUAUUGUAGGUCUUCCUCAGGUGGGAAGUGAACCACGAGGCAGAGGCACCACCGGUCAUUCACGGACAGUUACCUCGCCGAAGAGACACCCAACCCAAGUGUCCAGAACACAGAAACUAUACAGGAGCUUACCACGGACACAGACAGCAGGACCAGCAAAGAUACAAAGAUGGCAUCACACUACGUAGCAAUACAAGCCAACAAAAACUCUUAACGACGACAACACUUGUCGAAACCACUUGAACUAUUUAUUCACUCGGGACUUAACACAGACGUCGACGCUCAAUAGGACACAAAAGAAAACAAACGAAGAUAGACUACGUAAAGUAG